UACGUAGGGGGCAAGCGUUGUCCGGAUUUAUUGGGCGUAAAGAGCGUGUAGGCGGCCAGGUAGGUCUGCUGUGAAAACUCGAGGCUUAACCUCGAGAUGUCGGUGGAAACCAUCUGGCUAGAGUCCGGAAGAGGAGAGUGGAAUUCCCGGUGUAGCGGUGAAAUGCGCAGAUAUCGGGAAGAACACCCGUGGCGAAGGCGGCUCUCUGGGACGGUACUGACGCUGAGACGCGAAAGCGUGGGGAGCGAACAGG
rnacentral:rRNA from 1 species